ACGAAUCUAAAACGUUCCGUUUCACGACUCGAAGUUUAGGCGAAGAAAAAACUUCAUGGGCCACUACGUCACGUCACGAAGGAACACAAUUGAAAUAUUUUACAAACAUAAACAUCAUAGAUUGUAUCUUUCUAAGCCGUGUACUUUAAAAACUUUUAUCGAUUUAUCGAACAAAAACCAUUUCAUUCGAACGACGCUGUAAAACCACUUAAAACCAUUCCAUAAUUUAAAAAUCCAUUAUUGACGUUAGAGCUCCAGGAAUUCUAUGACGGCUUCAACCUUUCAUUGUAUCAACUUUAUAAAAGAUCCAAGAAUCUCAGUACCUAUUCGAUCUAAUAUAAAUGAAAAAUAUAAAAAUGGUAAAGUCGUGGUUUUUAGCAAGCUUUUAUCAACUGGGAGUGUAUCUAUGUUUAUUUCUAUGUAACAGAAUCUUUGAACGUCAUUAUCACCAACUUCAAGAGGUCAACUUAAUUUUAAAAUAUGCACCAGCAUCAAUGACUAAUAACAGUACAAUCAUUUUAUAACUUCGCUCUAAUA